ensembl:snRNA
ACCAUCCUUUUCUUGGGGUUGCGUUACUGUCCAAUGAACGUCUAGUGAGGGCAGUACUGCUAACGCCUGAACAACACACCCGCAUCAACUAGAGCUUUGCUUUAUCUUGGUGCAAUUUUUGGAAAA